GUCCUGGUCGAUUAGUGGUCAAAUCAUCUCGUUGUGGUGGUCAGGAAUAUGUAGAAACGCUCCGAGAAGCCGAGGGCUCGACUCCCUCCCGGGACA